AAGAAGAUGGUCUAGUUGCUUCUAGCUCAAGGAACGCUGAGGAAGAUGGUGUCUCGAGAGAUC
rnacentral:sRNA from 1 species